UUUUUUUUUCGGUUUUAGCAAAUUACGGGGGCAGCUAGGGGGGCUAUUUGCAAAACAAUUGUUAUUGCGAGAAUGUUUAUUCGGAUUUUUAUUAUUAAAUAAUAACAUGGAAAAAAUUAAUGAAGUUUUGUUGGACUCUGUAACAACUAGUUGGAGUGGUUAAUCUGUUCCUUUACAUGAUAAUGUAUACUCAGAUGCAUCUUGUAAUGUGGUUGGAGUGUGUAAUCCGUCUUUUUUCAUGACAAAAUGGUUACUCUGAUGCAUUUUAAUGUUGGCGACAUGGCACAUGUAUCAAAGUCUUCUGUCACAGUUGACUCAGCAAGAAUGAAGACAUUGAUACUCUUUUGCAUUAUGUAAUACACAAGUUGGCAGUUUCUCGCCCACUGCCACCCAAAUACAGGUAUAAGAAAUCCUUAUCUGUACGUAACAGACGAUGGAGACGAAGUGAUUAUUAUGUGUGGCAAAAGAUUAUUUUAUGAAGUUUUUCAUUUUCUGACUUCGUGAUGGAUCUUAUUGGAGUACACUUUUUUUGGACAUAGGAGGAGUAUUGCCGCUGUACGCAUGAACAAUAAUAAAACAUUCCAAAGAAUAAUUUGUUAUUUCAACGAUUAGAUUUGUUGUUUAAAUGUAU
rnacentral:lncRNA from 1 species